rnacentral:lncRNA from 1 species
GCUUUUUCUGAUAAGACAUCUUGUCUGAGAAGGAAGGAGAGCCUGGAAGGGGAGAAGAGAGCAUCGCUGGACCAGCUGCAAGAGGAUACUUACGGAGGCAGCUGCAUCCAUAGGCAACAUCGCCAUCCUCCCAGGGCUCCUUCAGGUGCCCGGAGAGCCCUCAGCGGGGUUUCUUAUGAUUGCUGCUUUUGGAAAAGUUGAGUUCCUCAUUCCCCUGCAGAAAGCCUUCAUUAUGCUUUAAACAGCCCAGUUAGCAGUGCCCAUUCUUUCUCCCAGCUCUGCCUCUGACCACUGUUGUGUGAUUUGAGGGCAGAUCACCCACACGCCCGCCUCUUUCUCAUUUCCUGUUAAAUGAAAGGGUUUGAACACUUCAUCUUUCAGGCCUCUUCCAAUCUCAACACUGAUUCUCUGAGUGCAAAUAGAAAACUACCACAAACCUCUACCUAGGAUAGGAGAUUUUACCCAUUCCCAGCACAACAGAGAGAGGUUUGUCGGACUUCAUUCUAUUGAGGGCUGUUGCACUCCAUCCUCUGCAGAAGCUCUUAGUUCAAACUCUUGGUCUGUCCCACUGAGCUAGGCCAUGAACCAAGGGCUAGUCACUAGAAAAGACAGGCUCUGCUGUGGCCCUGCCUGGAAACAGGGGAAGGACCCUGGUGGUCCUUUGGACCAACAUCCCCGACCAGAAGCUAUUAGCCAUCUCUUCCAUGAUUUUCUCAAGUCCAAGUUUGGUAGAAGGGACUUUGACUAGUAGGAAGUUGUAUUUCCCUCUCAGAACUUCUAACUCUGUAAAACAGCAAUUGGAUUUCUGUGGCACCUGAAAUCCCUCCCAUCUGCAACUUUUUUGGAUCAUUCUCCCUACUCUCUUGAGAGUGGCUCAGCCUCUCCUCCUGACAGGUUCACAAGGUCUGCUCAGCCUGUGCACAGGCUGCCUUGGACAGCCUCUGCAGAGUCCUUCUGUGCCCGGCACCAUGCCUGCCCCUAUGCGGGUGCCAGAGAGGCAGGAGAUAGUCUUGUCUUUGUGGAGUUUACAUUCUGGCCAGAAGACCAGAAACACCAUCUGCAUGGCAGCAGCUCAUCCCCUGCUCCUUUCCUGACCGCCCUCUAAAUAAUGCUGUUGAAGAGACAAAGCAACUCUCCUGUGUCCUAGAAAGCAAGGAAUUCAUCACAGAUUUUAAUAAUAUGUUCUUUCAGUCACUCAUGGCCCCUAUGUGAUGUCGAUGCAUUUCCCUUCCAAAAUG